AGCAGCCGCGGUAAUUCCAGCUCCAAUAGCGUAUAUUAAAGUUGUUGCAGUUAAAAAGCUCGUAGUUGAAUUUCGGGAUCAAUAUAUCGGUCGUGCCUCCGGUAUGCACUGGUAUUAUUGAUUUCUACCUUCUGACGAACUGUGAUGUCAUUAAUUUGGUGUCAUGGGGAAUCAGGACUGUUACUUUGAAAAAUUAGAGUGUUUAAAGCAGGCACACGCUUGAAUACAUUAGCAUGGAAUAAUGAAAUAGGACGUUUGACCCUAUUUUGUUGGUUUCUAGGAUCGACGUAAUGAUUAAUAGGGAUAGUUGGGGGCAUUAGUAUUCAAUUGUCAGAGGUGAAAUUCUUGGAUUUAUUGAAGACUAACUACUGCGAAAGCAUUUGCCAAGGAUGUUUUCAUUAAUCAAGAACGAAAGUUAGGGGAUCGAAGACGAUCAGAUACCGUCGUAGU
rnacentral:rRNA from 2 species